CGCGCGUGCUCAAAAAGCUACUUUCCCCUGAAAAGAGUUGGCAACUCUGUAGCUCAGGGUUUAUCUGGAGGGAGAAGAGUUCACGUGCGUGUUGUUGAUGGGGAGAAAAGUGCACUCGAGCAGUACUCACUUGAGGUCCCUCUUGGCGGUGCGCGCAGCCACGUACAAGUACCUCCAGCCACCGGAGCCUAGGUACAGGCCGAGUCCAGCGGCCACGCUCCACGACCACGGCGCGCCGAGCAGCCGGAGCAGGCCGAGAGAGCCGAGAGACACGGCAUAGCGCAUCCUACCGAGUACAAACACACA